rnacentral:rRNA from 1 species
AGCUCUUGACAUGGGGAUUAAGGUCUUUGGAAACAUUGACCGUCAGUUCGGCUGGAUCCCACAC